rnacentral:pre_miRNA from 1 species
GAUGAGAGAAUAACAAAUCAGAUUUUUCUUCUUGAUUUUUAACCUUUUCCUCCUAAAAAAUUUAAAUCAAACUAAAAACACUAAAAAUAAGGAGGAAAAAUUUAAUUUGUUAUUCUCCUAUU